rnacentral:misc_RNA from 1 species
AAAUCCCCCCACCCCAGCCACUCCUUUCAACUAUGAGGAUACCUGGACUAAAAGAAAACGAUCCAAGAGGCCUCGCAGCGAAUCCCCUCCUACUGAGGAUGAGUAUCUCGCUCUCUGCCUCAUCAUGCUUGCUCGAGGCGGUAGCUCCACCACUAAAGAAGCUUCAUUUUCAUCUCCAUCUUCAUCUCCUUCUCCACCGGCAACUCAACCGCCAGCUUUGACUCUUUCUUACAAGUGUACUGUUUGCAACAAGGCUU